UAUGUAGGGUGCAAGCGUUGUCCGGAAUUAUUGGGCGUAAAGAGCUCGUAGGCGGUCUGUCGCGUCUGCUGUGAAAACUCAGGGCUUAACCCUGAGCUUGCAGUGGGUACGGGCAGACUAGAGUGCGGUAGGGGAGACUGGAAUUCCUGGUGUAGCGGUGAAAUGCGCAGAUAUCAGGAGGAACACCGGUGGCGAAGGCGGGUCUCUGGGCCGUAACUGACGCUGAGGAGCGAAAGCAUGGGGAGCGAACAGG
rnacentral:rRNA from 1 species